CCCGCACAAGCAGCGGAGCGUGUGGUUUAAUUCGUUGCUACACGAAGAACCUUACCUGGGUUUGACAUAUAGGUUGUAGGGAACUGAAAAGGGACCGACCCUUCGGGAGCCUAUACAGGUGUUGCAUGGCUGUCGUCAGCUCGUGUCGUGAGAUGUUCGGUUAAGUCCGCUAACGAGCGCAACCCUCGUCGUAUGUUAUAUGUGUCAUACGAGACUGCCGGUAAAAGCCGGAGGAAGGUGAGGAUGAUGUCAAGUCAGCAUGACCUUUAUAUCCAGGGCUACACACACGCUACAAUGGUCUGUACAAUGGGUAGCCAAGCCGCGAGGCGGAGCCAAUCCAGCAAAACUUCCCUCAGUUCAGAUUGCAGGCUGCAACUCGCCUGCAUGAAGUUGGAGUUGCUAGUAAACGCAGGUCAGCCAUACUGCGUUGAAUACGUUCCCGGGGCUU
rnacentral:rRNA from 1 species